rnacentral:rRNA from 1 species
GGGUUGUGAGGUUAAGCGACUAAGCGUACACGGUGGAUGCCCUGGCAGUCAGAGGCGAUGAAGGACGUGCUAAUCUGCGAUAAGCGUCGGUAAGGUGAUAUGAACCGUUAUAACCGGCGAUUUCCGAAUGGGGAAACCCAGUGUGAUUCGUCACACUAUCAUUAACUGAAUCCAUAGGUUAAUGAGGCGAACCGGGGGAACUGAAACAUCUAAGUACCCCGAGGAAAAGAAAUCAACCGAGAUUCCCCCAGUAGCGGCGAGCGAACGGGGAGCAGCCCAGAGCCUGAAUCAGUGUGUGUGUUAGUGGAAGCGUCUGGAAAGGCGUGCGAUACAGGGUGACAGCCCCGUACACAAAAAUGCACAUGCUGUGAGCUCGAUGAGUAGGGCGGGACACGUGGUAUCCUGUCUGAAUAUGGGGGG